rnacentral:rRNA from 1 species
GCUUACGGCCAUACGACUCUGAGAACAUCCGAUCUGGUCUGAUCUCAGAAGCUAAGCAGGGUCGGGCCUUUUAGUCACUGACCAUACACAUACAUACAGUACGUU